AGCAGCAGCCUUUUUAGCAGCAGCAGCAGCCUUCUUUGCAGCAGCAACAGCAGCAGCCCUCUUAGCGGCAGCAGCGUUCUUAGCAGCAGAAGCCUUCUUAGCAGCAGCAGCCUUCUUAGCAGCAGCAGCUUUUCUGGCAGCAGCAGCCUUCUUAGCAGCAGCAGCC